rnacentral:lncRNA from 1 species
CCCCCUCUCUCACAUUCAUUCUCUACUCACCCCAUCCUCUCUAUUCCAGCAAUCGACGUCGAGUGUAGAAGAUCCUCUGUUGGAGCCACGCUCGCCGAUCUACUGUCUUUUGUGGAGUAUUGAUACUUAGAAGGGAUGUCGCCAACUAGCAACGCUACAGAUCUGUGAAUGUCAGUGGAGGUGUCGCCGACCAGCAAUGCUGCCUCGCUACCUACGAUGCUGCACGAGGCUUCAUGCUAUGCUCUGCGACCCAGUAUGGCAGUGUUCGUGUGAUUUUGUCAUGGAUUUGGAGAUGAACGUCGAUAUGCUGUUUUUUGGUGGUUUUGUUAUUUUCGUCCUUCUUGGAUCUGAUUGGGAUAGUUUUGUUGGUGAUUGUUUGUGAUUUCCAAAUUGUGGUGGUCUUUUGUAGUUGCAAAUGGUGGAGAUGUGGCAUGGUGUUCGAUUGGUGGUGGUGAACAGUAGUGUGGGUGGUGGGGAGAAGGAUGGAGAUGGUGGUUGUGGUUGUGAUUGUGAUUGUGAUUAUUGAUACAAACUGUGGUGAUACUGGUGCUUGAAGUGAUGAUGAUGGUUAGAUGGUGUUGACGAGGGUGAUGGCACUAACGGUGACUAUGGUGGUUCGGUAGUGGUGGGGUUCGGGUUAUAUACAGUGGGAUUUGUAACCAAUUAUAAAAAUAUUUGUGACCAAUGAAUUUUCUAAUUUGUGAUUUUAG